UACAGAGACUGCAAGCGUUAUUCGGAUUCACUGGGCGUAAAGGGUGCGCAGGCGACCAAGUGUGUCAGGUGUGAAAUCCCGAGGCUUAACCUCGGAACCGCGCCUGAAACUACUUGGCUAGAGUACUGGAGAGGGUAACGGAAUUCACGGUGUAGCAGUGAAAUGCGUAGAUAUCGUGAGGAACACCAGAGGCGAAAGCGGUUACCUGGACAGUUACUGACGCUCAGGCACGAAAGCGUGGGGAGCAAAAGGG
rnacentral:rRNA from 1 species